rnacentral:rRNA from 1 species
UUCACAGCAGGCUCCCAUGAUGUUAGCGGCGGACCGGUGAGUAACACGUGGCGUAACCUGCCCAUAAGACUGGGAUAACUCCGGGAAACCGGGGCUAAUACCGGAUAACAUUUUGAACCGCAUGGUUCGAAAUUGAAAGGCGGCUUCGGCUGUCACUUAUGGAUGGACCCGCGUCGCAUUAGCUAGUUGGUGAGGUAACGGCUCACCAAGGCAACGAUGCGUAGCCGACCUGAGAGGGUGAUCGGCCACACUGGGACUGAGACACGGCCCAGACUCCUACGGGAGGCAGCAGUAGGGAAUCUUCCGCAAUGGACGAAAGUCUGACGGAGCAACGCCGCGUGAGUGAUGAAGGCUUUCGGGUCGUAAAACUCUGUUGUUAGGGAAGAACAAGUGCUAGUUGAAUAAGCUGGCACCUUGACGGUACCUAACCAGAAAGCCACGGCUAACUACGUGCCAGCAGCCGCGGUAAUACGUAGGUGGCAAGCGUUAUCCGGAAUUAUUGGGCGUAAAGCGCGCGCAGGUGGUUUCUUAAGUCUGAUGUGAAAGCCCACGGCUCAACCGUGGAGGGUCAUUGGAAACUGCGAGACUUGAGUGCAAAAAAGGAAAAUGGAAUUCCAUGUGUAGCGGUGAAAUGCGUAGAGAUAUGGAAGAACACCAAUGGCGAAGGCGACUUUCUGGUCUGUAACUGACACUGAGGCGCGAAAGCAUGAGGAACAAACAGUAUUAAAUACCCUGGUAGUCCACGCCGUAAACAAUCACUGCUAACUGUUAGAAGNUUUCCGCCCUUUAGUGCUAAACUUAACCCAUUAAUCACUCCACCUGGCGAGUACGGCCGCAGGGCUGAUACUCAAAAGAAUUGANNAGNCCCCGCACCANNGCUCGAACCAUAUAGUUUAUUUCAAAGCGACCCCAANNAACCUUACCAGGGCUUGACGUCGUCUUACAGCCCUAAAGAAUAAAGACUUUUCCUUCCCCAACCGAAGUGACAAUUAUAGCAUGUUUUUCGUCAGCCCCNCUCCUGAAAUAUUGANUAAAGUCCCACAACGCACNACACCCCUUCAUCUUNUUUUCCCUCAUUUAAAUUAUNACCUNUAAGGUAAAUUCCCGUUACCACCCCNNAACAAACGGGGGANGGGACGUUAANUCUACCUCCCCNUUAUCACCUCCCCUA